rnacentral:rRNA from 1 species
UUUUUUUUUUAGUAAAAUCUGCCCCGUGAAAUUUUAACGGCCGCGGUAUCCUAACUGUGCUAAGGUAGCAUAAUAAUUAGAUUUUUAAUUGAAAUCUUGUAUAAAUGAUUCGACGRGAAACUGUCUUUAUUUUUUAUAAAAUGAAUUUAUUAAUAAGGUUAAAAAACCUAUAAAUUUCAAAUAGACGACAAGACCCUAAAAACUUUACUUAAAACAAAAAAAAAUAAUUUNUUUAGAAAAAAAUAUUUAUCUUGAAAUAAGUUUAACUGGGGGGGUAAUUUUUAAUUUAAACCUAAAUAAAUACMNCMAUAUGUUUGAUUUUUUUUUAAACUUUUUAUAUAAUAAAGACUAAGUUACUUUAGGGAUAACAGCGUAAUUUUUUUUUUGRGCUUCAUAUCCCCAAAAAAGUUUMCGACCUCGAUGUUGAAUUGAAAUUUCUUAAUAGAGCAGAAACUAUUAAAGAAGGCCGGUCC